rnacentral:lncRNA from 1 species
UCAAACAACAACAACAGGGUCCAAACAACAACAACAGGGUCCAACAACAACAACAGGGUUCGACAACAACAACAACAGGGUCCAACAGGUUGAAACCUUUAUCUCAUAGUGUUGUUUACUCACCGGUUACCGGACGGAGGACCAUCCCGUACAGACACAACGACAGCAUCGUGAUUUGUUUCAGCAACGCCAUUGACUUCACUCUGUUGUACAUUUUUUUGAUUUAACUCCCAACAAAAAAACUUAAUGUAUUUAUAUGUCUUUCACGUCAGCUCAAUAAGUUGAAGUGAAAUGUCCAGUAUGGAAGAAGACAUUGAAAAGUAAAUGAUCAGUGAUGAAGACGGCGUCAGAUUGUCCUGCUAACAGCUAGCUAACGUUAGCCAACACAACGUUAGCUGAAAAUUACCUCACUAACAUUAACAAUACACUGGUAGCGUUACUACAGGUAGCUAACUAUGUUAAAAUAAACUUGUUUGGGGGGGGGGGGGACGGUCUUAUGCCUACAAAGUCCAACUUUGCCGUAUUUUUUGUCCCCCUUUUCAAGGUAACUAGCUAACGUUAGCUAGCUAGCUCCUUUGCUAACGUUAGGCAGCCUUUGAUAGCUAACCGUCCAAGCUAGCUAGCUAGCUAACGUUAGGUAUUUAUUAUAUACAAAAAGGUCCGUCAAAUCCAAAUUCCAUGUUGACUAUUCCCAUUCCAUAGGUCUUUGUCUUAACAACGUCCAUCCAUUCAGGGUUUAUUUGGUCUAUUCAGGGGUUUAGUAAAUAGGUUUUAGUCCCGUCGGGGUGGAUAGCCGUCUCUUUCUGCAUUUGGCAUUGACCGUGGAGGCUCCGGGCAGGGCAGGGCACCGGACAGCGAGGCUCCGGGCAGCGAGGCUCCGGGCAGCGAGGCACCGGACAGCGAGGCACCGGACAGCGAGGCACCGGGCAGGGCAGGGCACCGGACAGCGAGGCUCCGGGCAGGACAGGGCACCAGACAGCGAGGCUCCGGGCAGCGAGGCACCGGACAGUGAGGCGCAGAGCAGGGCAGGGCACCGGACAGCGAGGCUCCGGGCAGGACAGGGCACCAGACAGCGAGGCUCCGGGCAGGGCACCGGACAGCGAGGCUCCGGGCAGGGCAGGGCAGCAGACAGCGAGGCUCCGGGCAGGGCACCGGACAGCGAGGCUCCGGGCAGGGCAGGGCAGCAGACAGCGAGGCUCCGGGCAGGACAGGGCACCAGACAGCGAGGCUCCGGGCAGGACGGCGGCGGCGGGGGGAAACGCCUGGUUGUGUCUCCACUAUCAGGCAGCCAUGUAUAAUGUCCAUGUGGCGUCUCUGGUGAGGGAGCAGUGAGGAGGAAAGGAGAGCGUUCAUGUUGCUACGCUGCUGCUGCAUUUACACCUGCUGUCCACACGGUGGCGCCACCCCCUGGGUCUUCUGGAAAAUAUCCUCUUCUUCAAAACUAUAAAUCAAGUUUUAUGUCACGUGUGCCGAAUACCUACUGUUUGUAGACUUUAACAUUGUUUUAUAUUUUAUUUUUAUUUUACCGUUAUUUUACCAGGUAAGUUGACUGAGAACACGUUCUCAUUUACAGCAACGACCUGGGGAAUAGUUACAGGGGAGAGGAAGGGGAUGAAUGAGCCAAUUGGAAGCUGGGGAUGAUUAGGUGGCCAUCUUGGGAAUUUAGCCAGGACACCAGGGGUUAACGCCCCUACUCUUACGAUAAGCGCCAUGGGAUCUUUAGUGACCUCAGAGAGUCAGGACACCCAUUUAACAUCCCAUCUGAAAGACAGCACCGUACACAGGGCAAUGUCCCCAAUGUAAUGAUUGGUUACUAGCCCUUCUCAACGAUGCAGAGUUAAAACAUUAAAUAAUGUAAAACGGGGAAUAAUACUAAAUACACUGGAGUAUACGGAAGUACAGGCUCAAUGUGGAGCUAUAUACAGGGAGUACCAGAUCAAUGUGGAGCUAUAUACAGGGAGUACCAGAUCAAUGUGGAGCUAUA